rnacentral:siRNA from 1 species
UGCAUGAACGUUUGUUGUGUCCGA